rnacentral:rRNA from 1 species
GACGAACGCUGGCGGCGUGCUUAACACAUGCAAGUCGAACGGAAAGGCCCUGCUUGCAGGGUACUCGAGUGGCGAACGGGUGAGUAACACGUGGGUGAUCUGCCCUGCACUUCGGGAUAAGCUUGGGAAACUGGGUCUAAUACCGGAUAGGAGCCAUCUUUAGUGUGGUGGUUGGAAAGUUUUUUCGGUGUAGGAUGAGCUCGCGGCCUAUCAGCUUGUUGGUGGGGUAAUGGCCUACCAAGGCGGCGACGGGGAGCCGGCCUGAGAGGGUGUACGGCCACAUUGGGACUGAGAUACGGCCCAGACUCCUACGGGAGGCAGCAGUGGGGAAUAUUGCACAAUGGGCGCAAGCCUGAUGCAGCGACGCCGCGUGGGGGAUGAAGGCCUUCGGGUUGUAAACUCCUUUCGCUAGGGACGAAGCUUUUUUGUGACGGUACCUAGAUAAGAAGCACCGGCUAACUACGUG